rnacentral:rRNA from 1 species
UGGGGAAUAUUGGACAAUGGGCGAAAGCCUGAUCCAGCCAUGCCGCGUGUGUGAAGAAGGUCUUCGGAUUGUAAAGCACUUUAAGUUGGGAGGAAGGGCAGUAAGUUAAUACCUUGCUGCUUUGACGUUACCGACAGAAUAAGCACCGGCUAACUCUGUGCCAGCAGCCGCGGUAAUACAGAGGGUGCAAGCGUUAAUCGGAAUUACUGGGCGUAAAGCGCGCGUAGGUGGUUUGUUAAGUUGGAUGUGAAAGCUCCGGGGUCAACCUGGGAACUGCAUCCAAAACUGGCAAGCUAGAGUACGGUAGAGGGUGGUGGAAUUUCCUGUGUAGCGGUGAAAUGCGUAGAUAUAGGAAGGAACACCAGUGGCGAAGGCGACCACCUGGACUGAUACUGACACUGAGGUGCGAAAGCGUGGGGAGCAAACA